UAGGCGGAUUGAGAGAUUGACCGCCAACACUGGGACUGAGACACUGCCCAGACUCCUACGGGAGGCUGCAGUCGAGAAUCAUUCGCAAUGGGCGAAAGCCUGACGAUGCGACGCCGUGUGAGCGAUGAAGGCCUUAGGGUCGUAAAGCUCUUUCGCCUGGGAGCAAGAGAAGCCGACUAAUAUUCGGCUAAUUUGAGAGUACCAGGUAAAGAAGCACCGGCUAACUCCGUGCCAGCAGCUGCGGUAAUACGGAGGGUGCAAGCAUUAAUCGGAUUUAUUGGGCGUAAAGGGCGCGUAGGCGGGAACAUAAGUCAGAUGUGAAAUCCUGGAGCUCAACUCCAGAACAGCAUUUGAAACUAUAUUUCUUGAGGGUAGGCGGAGAAAACGGAAUUCCACAUGUAGCGGUGAAAUGCGUAGAUAUGUGGAAGAACAUCGGUGGCGAAGGCGGUUUUCUAGCUUAUUCCUGACGCUGAGGCGCGAAAGCAAGGGGAGCAAACAGGAUUAGAUACCCUGGUAGUCCUUGCCGUAAACGAUGUAUACUUGGUGUAAUUGGACUCAACCCCAAUUGUGCCGGAGCUAACGCGUUAAGUAUACCGCCUGGGGAGUACGCUCGCAAGGGUGAAACUCAAAAGAAUUGACGGGGACCCGCACAAGCAGUGGAGCAUGUGGUUUAAUUCGAUGCAACGCGAAGAACCUUACCCAGACUUGACAUGCAGAAGACAGCUUUAGAGAUAGAGUGUUCCUUAGGGACUUCUGCACAGGUGCUGCAU
rnacentral:rRNA from 1 species